rnacentral:snoRNA from 1 species
AAGACUAUACUUUCAGGGAUCAUUUCUAUAGUUCGUUACUAGAGAAGUUUCUCUGACUGUGUAGAGCACCCGAAAUCAUGAGGAGGAGCUCUCCUGAGCGUGAAGCCCCCUCAACAGCUAAAUGUUUUUCACAGAGGUUUCAAGGGAAAAAUUAUUAUGCU